UCUCUUGUUUCUUUCUCUCUAUUCGUGCUAGUCCCCUCCUAUUUCUUACCGUUUCGCCGUUCUCCGUGUUUAUCGUGACGAAGGCAGAUCCUGUCGAAAAUAUAUAGUCCUGUGUCCUUUCCUUCCUUCCUUCUACGCGUUUAUCCCUGUUCGGUUUUGUUUUGGUGUUUAUUGGUGAGAAUCUACCGGGACGAUAGGAACAAAGGGACGAAGCGAACGGCUGUGAAAGAGCAACGCAGACGAACAGAGUGUGAGAGAGACAUCGUGGUGUAUCGAUUGAGAGCGGAGCUUGCAGUUGACAAAAAUCGCCAAAGAAGAGCUACCAAAGUACUUAGAAGGGAGGAUGAAGUGGAAGGACAGAAAGAUAUUAGCAAGAUUCAGAUGUGGAAACGAGACCAAAGCAAGGGAAUACUGGAAAGAAGAGGGAGAAAAGAGAUGCGGACUAUGUAAAAGGAAAGAAGAAGACCUGAGACAUGUAAAAGAAGAAUGCGAAAUAACGGGAGGACCAAAGGACACGGAAAAACACUAAAUGAGACUGGAGAAGAGCUAACAGAACUAAAAGCAAUAAUAGAGAAGAGGAGGGCAAUACAAGACGGGGAGGAACGACGAUAAGGAAGCACAGCAAGGAGGCAAAAGCUCAAAAGUUGCCAUAGCUUUGGAGACAGAAUAAUUA
rnacentral:misc_RNA from 1 species